UGGGGAAUAUUGCACAAUGGGCGAAAGCCUGAUGCAGCAACGCCGCGUGAGUGAUGAAGGUCUUCGGAUUGUAAAGCUCUGUCUUUUGGGACGAUAAUGACGGUACCAAAGGAGGAAGCCACGGCUAACUACGUGCCAGCAGCCGCGGUAAUACGUAGGUGGCGAGCGUUGUCCGGAUUUACUGGGCGUAAAGGGUGCGUAGGCGGAUGUUUAAGUGAGAUGUGAAAUACCCGGGCUUAACUUGGGUGCUGCAUUUCAAACUGGAUAUCUAGAGUGCAGGAGAGGAGAAUGGAAUUCCUAGUGUAGCGGUGAAAUGCGUAGAG
rnacentral:rRNA from 1 species